rnacentral:tRNA from 1 species
UUCUUAUUAGUUUAAGGGCAAAACAAGAUAUUCAUAAUAUCCUAAUCUAAGUUCGAGUCUUAGAUAAGAA